AUGGCAUACGAUAUGCUCGAUGCGAUUAACAAUGGGAAGGAUUCCUGGAAAGUGAAGGUCAGAGUAAUUAGGCUAUGGGAUGCCAUUAACCUCAAUAACAAUGAACUAAUUAGCCUUGACAUGAUACUGCUUGAUGAACAUGGCACUAUGAUACAUGCCAAGGUAAUAAAACAUAUGGUUAACAAGUUCAGGCCAUUGAUCCAAGAAGGUUUAGUCUACAUGAUAGCAAAUUUCAAGGUUACAUCUGCCAUGAAUUUCCGUCCAGUUGAAGGCGACAAGAUUAUUAACUUCUUGCACACAACAAAAAUUCAAGAGAUUAAGGGACUUAAUAUCAGAAUAGCAGAACAAAGUUUCAUGUUUUGUAGCCACAAGAGAUGGCCAGAGGAUAUAUUAAUACCAUCUUAUUUAGCAGAUGUCAUUGGGGUAGCAAGUUAUAUAGGGAAUAUUGAAGAGACGGGGACAACUCAUGGGAUUUCCAAGAUUCGAGAUAUUGUACUUCGAAUUGAGGAUCAAAAAGUUAAUAUUAGACUGUGGGGCAAUAAGGUCGACCAAAUUGAUGAAGAUUCUAUGGUGUUGUCAUAG
rnacentral:rRNA from 1 species